rnacentral:rRNA from 1 species
UACGUAGGGUGCGAGCGUUGUCCGGAAUUACUGGGCGUAAAGGGCGCGUAGGCGGCCGCUUGCGUCGGAUGUGAAAACUCGAGGCUCAACCUCGAGACGUCGGUUGAAACCACCUGGCUAGAGUCCGGAAGAGGAGAGUGGAAUUCCUGGUGUAGCGGUGAAAUGCGCAGAUAUCAGGAAGAACACCCGUGGCGAAGGCGGCUCUCUGGGACGGUACUGACGCUGAGACGCGAAAGCGUGGGGAGCGAACAGG